rnacentral:lncRNA from 1 species
UUUGUAAUAAUAAUUUGUACAUUAUAAUUGUAAUAGGCCCAAUUUGCCCGGCCCGUUAGUAAAAUAAACCAAAUGAAAAAAACUAAAAUUAAAUAGUCCAAUAAACAGUCCAAAUUACAAAAAAUCCACCAGACCCAAAAUUUAACCCAUACCCAAUCUAAAUUCCUAAAACGGUGGCCCAAUUACAAUAUGGCCCAAUUACACUUAGCCCAAAUCAGCCCAAAACACAAAAAAUACACAGCAAC